GGAGAACAGAGCAGAAAGCAGGAAGGAGGCAGCACACGAUGUUGUUCAUUGCUUUGUGUGCAUCAUGUCAACAAAUAAUUCUUAUAGGGAUGCAGAAUUGGAGUGAUAUUUGUUGGGCUAUGCUCUCCUCCAUCUUUUGGGAAGCUCAGAAAGCAAAGCUUCCACUGCAUCUCACCCUCACCGAGAUGCUGUUUUCCCCCAAUUAACCAUGAAUAAGGAAUUGGUUUGGGCAUGCUUGACGCCAGUGUUUCCAUGAGGCUAGUGGGAAUGUUGGUGGUAAAGAUGGCUUCACGGAGGACAUCCACUGUCUGGAGCUGAUGUCCGUUUUUGUAAACGUCCCUUGCCGCCCACAUGUUCUCCAUUGGAUUUAGAUCAGGGGAACACGCAAGGACAAUGCUGCAGUUCACAUUGCCCGCCUGACAGAUGAGCACCCUCUGUCAUGAGGGAUGCCCCCUGCAACAUCUCCGCAUAGCCAGCAGCUGUUUGAUGCCCCUGAACAACCUGAAGCUCCAUUCAUCCAUUGAAGAAAAAAGCACCCCAGAUCAUCCGUCCCCGCUGUCACUCUAUGAGAACCUGGACUUUUCGUUUUCAUUUCGUCCAUGGCUCUGACAAACAUUCGCAGGUACUCUCCACAAAGCCAUUCUCUUCCUUUUCAGCCCUGUAGGCACAGCUCCAUCUGCUGGAUUUGGUCAGUCACUGCACCAUUGGGCCCAUAGCAAAUGGACUAUAAAAGCUAAAUGGAAAAAAAGGGCUCUGCAUCUUUAGAGAUUCAAGAGUUUUAUUGUCAUAUGCACAGUAAAACAAGUAGUUAUACUAUGCAAUGAAAUUCUUGUUCUGUUCAUUCUCCCAAAAAAAGCAAGAAAGAAAACACAAGAAAAUGAAUAAGAACAGAAGAAACAUUAAUACCAAUAAAUUAAGCAACAACAACAAAUGAUCGGCAGACGCAAGGACAACACUGUAUCACGGGUUAGCACUGCUACCUCACUGCAAAUGUGUUCAGGGUAGAUUCUGGCUUUUUUGCGUGAAGUUUCCCAGCUUUCUUCACAAGUCUAAACCAUACCUUAAACCUAUACCUUAAAUUUAUGAGAAAAAGUCGUAAAUUCAUAAGAAUAAAGUUGUAAAUGUACAACAAAAAACGUUGUAAAUGUACAAGAAUAAAGACAUAAAUUUAUGAGAAAAAAGUCCUAAAUUUCCGAGAAAAAAAGUUGUAAUAUUAUGAGAAAGUCGUAAAUUUACGAAAAUAAAGUGGUAUUAUUACAGUAUGUGAGGUACGUGUCAGAGGGAAAAUAGAGCAGAGCUCUUCCGGAAGGAAGGGAACUUUCCUCUUGCUUCAGGCAAGCUUUUAUUUAUAACGUGGCAGCAAAACAGAGCAGUUGAGCACAAACAGAUUAGCAUGUCCUGUCUCACGUCCUUACUCUGCCAAAAGGCAAAGGUCAAAACUUUCUACCAUUUUCCUAGCUGUCUCAGGCAAUGCCUGUAGCAUAAAGUUACAAGUUUUUUCUCAUAAAUUUAGGACUUUAUUCUUGUAAUAUUACAAGUUUUUAAAAGUAAAUUAAUUGUAAAAUAAUCUCUGAUUAUUUUUUCCUCACUGUGGCUGUAAUACGCCAUCGUAAUAGGCGUUGUGGUCCAGCUAAUGAUGACUAAUGACAAUGAUUAAUGAAAAUAAUGGUGAUGGUAUUCUUACAUGGAAAAUUUUCCAUGUAAAACGUCAUCACCCUUAUUUUCAUAAUUAUGGUCAUCAGCAUUAUAUAUGAGUAUCACUAAUUAAGGUCUGACAUAUGUUAGCUUGAGUAUGGAAUAAUGGUCUGACGUGUAGUGCAUAGAAUUAUAUAAAAGCCCAUUCCACUCUGUUCAGGGUGCAUUGUAUGGACCAAACCAAACCUCCCACACUGUUAUUGGCAUCAUACAUGCCCCCCUAAAAUAUAUUUUGUGCUGGCAAAUAUGCCGUGUUUACCCACAAGGGCCAUUUUUUAUCCAAACUGUGUUUGAUUUUAGCACAGUCAGGAGGGCAAUCAAAACAGUCAUUGUGAAUGGGAUUUUUAUUGAUGUCGCCGUAUUAUGACAAGAUGAUCAAAUAUGCAUAGAUUGACUCACUGAUAAGAUUAGCAUUGACUAAAAGGAAAAAAAAAACAGGUAAAAUGGAAAGAUACAUAUCUUAUAUAUUAUAUUCUAUAUUGGAAUCAUUUUUCCACAAGACAUGGUGGGGAUACAAAUAUCUCAGAAGUUGAACCUUUAUUUACGUCACAAGAAUUGGAAGGAAGGUUCAUAGUAGUUUGGUAAAAUAUAAAAACACUCAAGACAAGACAAACACAAAGUCGAGAGGUUGAACUGGGGAGUAAGACCUCAUGUAACUCAACAGCAGGGUUGGGUAUCCCAUAUUAUCCCAUAUCGGUGCCAAAUUGGUACGUUUGGAAUGGUUCCGGUGCUUAAACGGUGCCUGAACUGAAUGUGUGUGCAACGUUGGAAGGUUCAGUAUGCAUCUCGACUCGGUGGUGGUGUCCUAAGUCACACAGCCACAGCGUUUUCUAAAAUUUUAAAUGGAAGAUU